UUCCUGUCCUCUUGGUGGGCUCGCACCUGCCCAGGAUCCCGAGCCGUGAUCGCUGGAGCUGUUGCAGAAAAACUUCGGAGACGUUCCUGCUUUCUUCUGUACAAAGGUGUACAUCUCUCCAGGAUGGGCUCCUAAUCAAAUAUGACUAGUGUCCCUAUCAGAAGAUGGCCAUGUGAAGAUAGACGAGGAGGAUGCCAUGUGAUGACAGAGGAUUGAAGUGGUGCAUCUACAAGCCAAGAAAUGUUUGGGGGCUACCCAAAGCUGGAAGAGACAUGAAACAAAUUCUCCUUUAGAACUCUCGGAACCAACCCUGUCGAUACAUUCAUUUUGGACUUCUAGCCUCCAGAACUGUGAAACAUUAAAUUUCUGUUGUUUAAAGCUA